UCCGGUUUGUCACCGGCAGUCUCCUUAGAGUUCCCGACAUUACUCGCUGGCAACUAAGGACAAGGGUUGCGCUCGUUGCGGGACUUAACCCAACAUCUCACGACACGAGCUGACGACAGCCAUGCAGCACCUGUCUCACGGUUCCCGAAGGCGCCCGCCCAUCUCUGAGCAGUUCCGUGGAUGUCAAACCCAGGUAAGGUUCUUCGCGUUGCAUCGAAUUAAGCAACAUGCUCCGCCGCUUGUGCGGGCCCCCGUCAAUUCCUUUGAGUUUCAGCCUUGCGACUGUACUCCCCAGGCGGCAUAUUUAACGCGUUAGCUCCGGCACGGACAGAAUGAACUGCCCACACCAAAUAUGCAUCGUUUAGGGCGUGGACUAC
rnacentral:misc_RNA from 1 species